rnacentral:rRNA from 1 species
UUGAGCCUUGAUGUGUAGGAUAGGUGGGAGGCUUUGAAGUGUGGACGCCAGUCUGCAUGGAGCCGGCCUUGAAAUACCACCCUUUAAUGUUUGAUGUUCUAACGUGGACCCGUGAUCCGGGUUGCGGACAGUGUCUGGUGGGUAGUUUGACUGGGGCGGUCUCCUCCUAAAGAGUAACGGAGGAGCACGAAGGUUGGCUAAUCCUGGUCGGACAUCAGGAGGUUAGUGCAAUGGCAUAAGCCAGCUUGACUGCGAGCGUGACGGCGCGAGCAGGUGCGAAAGCAGGUCAUAGUGAUCCGGUGGUUCUGAAUGGAAGGGCCAUCGCUCAACGGAUAAAAGGUACUCCGGGGAUAACAGGCUGAUACCGCCCAAGAGUUCAUAUCGACGGCGGUGUUUGGCACCUCGAUGUCGGCUCAUCACAUCCUGGGGCUGAAGUAGGUCCCAAGGGUAUGGCUGUUCGCCAUUUAAAGUGGUACGCGAGCUGGGUUUAGAACGUCGUGAGACAGUUCGGUCCCUAUCUGCCGUGGGCGCUGGAGAACUGAGGGGGGCUGCUCCUAGUACGAGAGGACCGGAGUGGACGCAUCACUGGUGUUCGGGUUGUCAUGCCAAUGGCACUGCCCGGUAGCUAAAUGCGGAAGAGAUAAGUGCUGAAAGCAUCUAAGCACGAAACUUGCCCCGAGAUG